rnacentral:lncRNA from 1 species
GACACAGGGUCUCAUCAUGUUGCCCAGGCUGGUCUCAAACUUCUUGGCUCAAGCAAUCCUCCUGCCUCGGCUUCCCAAAAUGUUGAGAUUACCAGCAUAAUCCACGCCUGGCCUAAGUAUAGUUUUCUUUUUCUUUUUUGAGACGGAGUCUCACUCUGUUGCCCAGGCUGGAGUGCAGUGGCGCGAUCUCAGCUCACUGCAUGCUCUGCCUCCCGGGUUCACGCCAUUCUCCUGCCUCAGCUGGAGACUGGAGCUGGAGUAGCUGGGACUACAGGCGCCUGCCACUACGCCCGGCUAAUUUUUUUGUAUUUUUAAUAGAGAUGGGGUUUCACCGUGUUAGGCAGGAUGGUCUCGAACUCCUGACCUUGUGAUCCACCCGCCUCAGCCUCCCAAAGUGCUGGGAUUACAGGCGUGAGCCACCGUGCCCGGCCCUAAGUAUAGUUUUCUUAGCAGGGCAUUAAGCCUUCCAUAUGCUAACUCAAUCCAAUUUUUCCAAGUGUUGUUUCCCAGAGCUACCUACUCACCAGGCAAACCGUUCUCCAUAAACCAUAUACAUGCUGUCUCUGAACACUCAUGCUGUUCAACCUGGAGGGCCCUUCAUUUUUCCCCUUCUGAACUCAAGCCCAUCUCAGGUGCUCUCUGCUCCCCUCUUCCUCUGCAUUCCCACCACCUCUGGUUGUAACUUCACUGGGUGGUUUAAACACAGUCUGUCUUGUGUUACUUAUCCCUGUACUUGCCCAUCCCUCCUGACCAUAAACUCCCUGUGGGCAGACACAGUCUCUCCCACUUUGGGUCCCCACCGUGCUCCAGCUCAGACCUUGCCUUCGGUUCUGUUACUGACAGCAACAUGAAUAUGCCUGCUCUAGCCACUGCACCUUCUAUAAAGUCUCACACAACUUUCCCUGUUCAUCCCCAACUCCAUCCAGAGGACACAUAUUCUCACCCAUCACUCAUCAUUCAAACGAGUCCCUGACCAGCUGAGUGGCAGCCUUUUGCACACAGCCACCCCAUCACGCGCACCUCCAACCUUUCACCCACUGUGUGUCAACCUUCUCUGUGUGACCAGCCACUGAGUCACGAACCACACUAUCCUCUGGCAGCAGAAAUGCUCAUACAUUAGUUUUCAAAGUCCCGCGAAAGCCACCGGUAUUCUGUACCUAUAAUCUCCCAAGAGGCCUUUCCACAGCUCACACAGAUCCCAAGAAUGGUGGGGUAAGUCCUUCCUGUUACCGAUGAUGGCUCUGAAUUUCCAACACGCCAUAGGUCUCCAUGCCCCUUUAUGCUUCCUGGGUCUCAAUCACUUCAAAACCCCUCAAACAGUACCUAUCCAAAGCAAAUCGCUUGGCAGGCCCCCAAACAGAACCUGUGAGACACAGUUAAGGAUAGGAAAAUGCAGGCGUGAAGCCAUGACUGCUGACCCUUAUAGAAGAUGUGCCUUUUUUUCACCCAGGCUGGAGCGCAGUAGUGCAAUCAUAAUUCACUGCAGCCUCAACUCUUAGGAUCAUGCAAUCUUCCUGUCUCAGCCUCCUGAGUAGCAAGUAGCUGGGACUAGCAGCGUGCACCAUCACACCCAGUUAAUUUCCUUUUUUUUUGUAGAGAUGGGGUCUCGCUAUAUUGCCUAGGCUGAUCUUGAACUCCUGGCCUCAAGUGAUCCUCUUGCCUUAGCCUCCCAGAGUGCUGAGGUUACAUGUGUGACCCACUAUGCCUGGCGAAGAUGUGGCCUUGAAACAAUUUUCUGGAAGUCAGAGGUCUUUAGCAAGCUCUCACCUCCUACAACAUCCCCUGUAGUCUGACCCAAGUUCUACACGCAAAUUCUAAGGUCAUUCUCUCCCCAUUGCACCACCAGCUGCAUUUUAUACAUCACCUAUGUUAAAGUGUGACACUAGGGUCCUCAUCAGAUAUUCUUUCCUCAGAAAGAGAAAAGCAUAAAUUACCCCCCACAAACAUGUCAUCUCAGGUAAAUGGAUGUCACCAGCCUUCAUGACCCCAACCUCUGAUGAAGUCAGUUAUGUUUAUAACCAGACCAGAACCAACCCAGGUAUCUUGAGAGUUUCUCCUACAGGAAGGGAGUUCUUUGCUCCACUUGGGAAGGAGCCUUCCCUGUUGACCACAUCACCUGCAACCAUAUCACCUCCCUCCCAGCCCAUCCUGUUCCCAAGGCCCAGGAGUCCAGGCUGCCCCCAGCCAGCACCUUACCUUGUUCAGGCAAGGUCGGGGACGGCCUAGCGGUGCAGAGUGUGGCUGUGACCAGCACAGCCCAGAAGAGGAGGCACUUCCAGCUCCACAUCCCAGUUCUGCAGUUAGAGGUUGGUGA